AUUGAACGCUGGCGGCAUGCUUUACACAUGCAAGUCGAACGGCAGCACGGGCUUCGGCCUGGUGGCGAGUGGCGAACGGGUGAGUAAUAUAUCGGAACGUACCCAAGAGUGGGGGAUAACGUAGCGAAAGUUACGCUAAUACCGCAUACGAUCUAUGGAUGAAAGUGGGGGAUCGCAAGACCUCAUGCUCCUGGAGCGGCCGAUAUCUGAUUAGCUAGUUGGUGAGGUAAAGGCUCACCAAGGCGACGAUCAGUAGCUGGUCUGAGAGGACGACCAGCCACACUGGAACUGAGACACGGUCCAGACUCCUACGGGAGGCAGCAGUGGGGAAUUUUGGACAAUGGGCGCAAGCCUGAUCCAGCAAUGCCGCGUGAGUGAAGAAGGCCUUCGGGUUGUAAAGCUCUUUUGUCAGGGAAGAAACGGUGGGAGCUAAUAUCUCCUACUAAUGACGGUACCUGAAGAAUAAGUACCGGCUAACUACGUGCCAGCAGCCGCGGUAAUACGUAGGGUGCAAGCGUUAAUCGGAAUUACUGGGCGUAAAGCGUGCGCAGGCGGUUUUGUAAGUCUGACGUGAAAGCCCCGGGCUCAACCUGGGAAUUGCGUUGGAGACUGCAAGGCUUGAAUCUGGCAGAGGGGGGUAGAAUUCCACGUGUAGCAGUGAAAUGCGUAGAGAUGUGGAGGAACACCGAUGGCGAAGGCAGCCCCCUGGGUCAAGAUUGACGCUCAUGCACGAAAGCGUGGGGAGCAAACAGGAUUAGAUACCCUGGUAGUCCAAGGGCGAAUUCCACAGUGGAUAUCAAGCUUAUCGAUACCGUCGACCUCGAGGGGGAGGCUACGAUAAACAAACUUUUGUUCCCUUUAGUGAGGGGUUA
rnacentral:rRNA from 1 species